rnacentral:rRNA from 1 species
UACGGAGAGUGCAAACGUUGUUCGGAAUUAUUGGGCGUAAAGGGCGCGUAGGCGGCCUGGUAAGUCGGAUGUGAAAGCCCAGGGCUCAACCUUGGAAGUGCGUUCGAUACUGCUGGGCUUGAGUACAGGAGGGAGAGGUGGAAUUCCUGGUGUAGGGGUGAAAUCCGUAGAUAUCAGGAGGAACACCGGUGGCGAAGGCGACCUCUUGGCCUGUUACUGACGCUGAGGCGCGAAGGCGUGGGGAGCAAACAGG